GCCGGAAUCGCUAGUAAUCGCGGAUCAGAAUGCCGCGGUGAAUACGUUCCCGGGUCUUGUACACACCGCCCGUCACACCAUGGGAGUCGGAAAUGCCCGAAGUCUGUGACCCAACCGUAAGGAGGGAGCAGCCGAAGGCAGGUCGGAUGACUGGGGUGAAGUCGUAACAAGGUACC
rnacentral:rRNA from 1 species